GGAUUGGAAAUGGGCGGAGCCUGAUCCAGCAACNCCGCGUGAGGGAUGACGGCCUUCGGGUUGUCAACCUCUUUCAGCGGGGACGAAGCGCAAGUGACGGUACCCGCAGAAGAAGCACCGGCCAACUACGUGCCAGCAGCCGCGGUAAUACGUAGGGUGCGAGCGUUGUCCGGAAUUAUUGGGCGUAAAGGGCUCGUAGGCGGUUUGUCGCGUCGGGAGUGAAAACCAUGGGCUUAACUCAUGGCUUGCUUCCGAUACGGGCAGACUAGAGGUAUGUAGGGGAGAACGGAAUUCCUGGUGUAGCGGUGAAAUGCGCAGAUAUCAGGAGGAACACCGGUGGCGAAGGCGGUUCUCUGGGCAUUACCUGACGCUGAGGAGCGAAAGUGUGGGGAGCGAACAGGAUUAGAUACCCUGGUAGUCCACACCGUAAACGUUGGGCGCUAGGUGUGGGAUCCAUUCCACGGGUUCCGUGCCGCAGCUAACGCAUUAAGCGCCCCGCCUGGGGAGUACGGCCGCAAGGCUAAAACUCAAAAAAAUUGACGGA
rnacentral:rRNA from 1 species